rnacentral:rRNA from 1 species
GACUCCAGCUGUCCCACCCUGACCGCACAUCUGAUCUGGAAACUAAGCAGGGUCUGGCUCAGCUAGUACAUGGGCAGGAGACUUCCUGAGAAUAAAUACCAGGUGCCGCAGGCU